ACUCAAAUGAAUUGACGGGGGCCCGCACAAGCGGUGGAGCAUGUGGUUUAAUUCGACGCAACGCGCAAAACCUUACCUGGGCUAGAAAUGGCAGAAACCUGGUCGAAAGAUCGGGGUGCCCUUCGGGGAAUCUGUUGUUAGGUGCUGCAUGGCUGUCGUCAGCUCGUGUCGUGAGAUGUUGGGUUAAGUCCCGCAACGAGCGCAACCCUUGCCGUUAGUUGCCAGCAUUAAGUUGGGCACUCUAACGGGACUGCCGACUCUUAAGUCGGAGGAAGGUGGGGAUGACGUCAAGUCCUCAUGGCCCUUACGUCCAGGGCUACACACGUGCUACAAUGGUCAGUACAAAGGGUUGCGAACCCGCGAGGGGGAGCUAAUCUCAAAAAACUGGCCUCAGUACAGAUAAGAGUCUGCAACUCGACUCUUUGAAGUCGGAAUCGCUAGUAAUCCCUGAUCAGCAUGGCAGGGGUGAAUACGUUCCCGGGCCUUGCACACACCGCCCGU
rnacentral:rRNA from 1 species